rnacentral:lncRNA from 1 species
AGGCAUAAGGGAGGCGGCCCAAGGGAGAGAGAGUCCCUGACUGAGUCCUGGAAAGGAGUUGGUUAGGACUUUUUGUCAGGCAAAGGGUGGAAACUGAUAUCAGGGUAGGGUGUGCAGGCUGGGCUGGGGAAGGCCUCCGAGGACUGGGACAGGCUGAUCAGCACUUCUGGUUGCGACGGUUAUUUUGAGUCAUGGGCCAGCUAGCUGGCUGGCUGGGGCAGCGAGGCUGUAAAUCUGUUGCUCAGCAUUCCUUUCCAAGGUGGGGACAUUCUACAACCUUGGUUGAUAUUCUGGAUCUUUUAAGGCCAGUUCCUGAAAUUCUUUAAGUAAAAGGCCUGGUUAAAUAUUACAAGAGCACAGAAGAGCACUAUAAACGGCUGUUUUCCUUGUAUGACCAAAGUCUCAGGGUUAGCGAGUUUGGUGUCAAGCCAGGUAGUGGCGUGGGGUGUGUGAUCCGUGGAAGGCAUGAGAGAAUGCUCUAGUGGGGGGUUAACCGAGCCAGCCCGUCCCUACUCUGUCUCAGGUAUGACUGUGUAAAUAAAUGUCCGUCCACACCCUGGCGGCAAAUGAAAUGCCCUUGCCAGCAGACCAUGCCCAGAGGUUGUUUGAGCAACUGCCUCCCAGCACCACAGGGUUCCUUAAUUACCAUAAAGGAUGUUAAAAGUCAUUCAGGAUUUGUGUUUGGCCAGAAGUUUGAGCGGUGUCUCUUUUUUUUUUCUUUCUUUCUUUUUUUUUUUUUUUUUGAGACGGAGUUUCGCUCUUGUUGGGCAGAGGCUGGAGUGCAAUGGCGUGAUCUCGGCUCACCGCAACCCUCGCCUCCCGGGUUCAAGUGAUUCUCCUGCCUCAACCUUCUGAGUAGCCGGGAUUAUAGGCAUGUGCCACCACGCCCAGCUAAUUUUUUUUUUGUAUUUUUGGUAGAGAUGGGGUCUCCGUGUUGGUCAGACUGAUCUUGAACUCCCGACCUCAGGUGACCCACCUGCCUCGGCCUCUCAAAGUGCUGGGAUUAUAGGUGUGAGCCACUGUGCCCGACCCUGAGCGGUGUCUUAGUUAGCGGGGGAUGCUUUAACAAAAUGCACAAAGUAACAAAAGAGCCAAGCCAUGAAAGAGAAAGCAACAGGAGAAGCAAGGAAAGCACAGAUUUACUGAAGACAUUUCAGAGUGGGAGCAGGCUCAAGCAAGCGGCUCAGGUGCCUCUUCUUUUGGGUUUUUGUUUUGUUUUGUUUUUUGAGACCGAGUCUCUGUCGCCCAGGCUGGAGUGCCAGUGGUACGAUCUCGGCUCACUGCAAGCUCCGCCUCCCGGGUUCACGCCAUUCUCCUGCCUCAGCCUCCCGAGUAGCUGAGACUAUAGGCACCCACUGCCACGCCUGGCUAAUUUUUUUGUAUUUUCAGUAGAGAUGGGGUUUCACCGUGUUAGCCAGGAUGAUCUCGAUCUCCUGACCUCGUGAUCCGCCCGCCUCGGCCUCCCAAAGUGCUGGGAUUACAGGCGUGAGCAUGAAUUUCUUCUUUACAUGUAGCUUCCAGUACCCAGAUCACAUGAUUUUUGAUGGAAGUCCAGUGUGAUCCGUAUUCUUGUUCCUCUAUAGGAAGUUGGGGAAGUCUAUGGACAUGUCCUCAGCUUGCAGAUUCUCUCCUGGGCUGUGUCCAGUCCACUGACGUCCGAGGCACAAUCCCCCGUGUGACCCUGCCUGGCGGCGGCCUCUUGUUAGAGCUAGACACGGUUUUGCCAUGUCGCCCAGGCUGGUCUCAAACUCCUGGACUCAAGCGACUUGCCUGCCUAGGCCUCCCAAAGGGCUGAGAUUACUGGGGUGAGCCGCCGCGCCUGGCCCAGGGUUUGUUUUUGUUUGCUUGCUUGUUCAGUGUCUGUCUGUGGACUUGUCUGGGAUCCAAAGAACAGGUGAAAAAUUUGUUUCGGGGAACACGGGCCUAUAAAGACUCCGCCAUGCCUGUACUCUGCUUGCCCAACACUGACCACACCCACUGCCAACACCCAGAACAGGCUGUCUGCUGGGUACCAGCCCACCCGUGCCCGCCUCACCCUAGCUGCAGCCUCCCUGUGCCCGCCUCACCCAGCUGCAGCCUCCCUGUGCCCGCCUCACCCUAGCUGGAGUCAGUUUCUGGGCUGCAGUGGGAGAUCUCCACCCGGGACACUGGCACUUCUCCGCUCAUCGUCACAAGCGUAGGCCUGUGGAGUGAUGUUUUAGACACGAUAGUGAGCAAGGGCAUUUGUGCGCAGUGAGGCCUGCUUCAAGCACUUGGAGACGAUCCCCGGAGCAGCGCCCCCACCGGCUCUGGCAGCAGCAGAGAGAUGAAGAGAAUGGUACCCAGAGUCUUGUUUUCAAACCCGACCAACACCAAUAUCUUCCCAACUCUGCUGUGCUGGAACAGCUCCCAAAGAGGCCUAUUUUUACCCAUACUGAAAGUCAACAUCAAACACAAAUUGGAGGGCAAAG